rnacentral:tRNA from 2 species
UGCAAGGUCAUCUAACGGCUAGGAUGUGCGGUUCAUACCCGCAGAAUGAGGGUUCGAUUCCCUCCUUUGCAACCA